UACGAAGGGGGCUAGCGUUGUUCGGAAUUACUGGGCGUAAAGGGCGCGUAGGCGGCUUGACGAGUCAGGUGUGAAAGGCCUGGGCUUAACCCGGGAAAUGCACUUGAUACUGUCGGGCUAGAGUGUGGGAGAGGAUGGCGGAAUUCCCAGUGUAGAGGUGAAAUUCGUAGAUAUUGGGAAGAACACCAGUGGCGAAGGCGGCCAUCUGGACCACAACUGACGCUUAGGCGCGAAAGCGUGGGGAGCAAAC
rnacentral:rRNA from 1 species